rnacentral:lncRNA from 1 species
UAGUCCAGUGAAUCAGAAACACAACUGAAGCAUUCAGAUUAGAGAGAGAUUGAAACCUCUUGUUCAUGUCGACAUCAGCUUUCUUACAGACAAUGUUGGCGAAACGGCGGCCGAUACCCUUGAUCGAGGUCAUGGCGAACAUGAUCUUCUGCUUGCCAUCGACAUUAGUGUUCUGCACACGCAGAAUGUGCUGAAAAUCCUCGUUUGCAACAAGUGACUGCAAAGUAAACAGUUAGUACAAACAAAAUAUCAAAGAAUCAGAAAUCGGUGAACAACAUAUCGUAGAAAUCAGACAGAACUACGGCGAAUUUAAGGAGAAAAAUAUAACGUACAAAUCAGACGAAAUUACGGCGAAUUUUAGGAGAAGAAUAUAUCGUACAAAUCAUGGCAGCGAAGACGUACCAUUGCUCUAGGCGACUAGGAUUCUCGGUGUCUCUCGGUGCCGACCAAACUCUGAUGAAGAAGUUCAAGAACCCUAAUUAGAAACAUCACAUAUCCUUAUUUAUAAGAACCCUAAUCCCAUAUGACGGGCUGGACAUUGGGCUUUAAAUAAUUGGGCCGAAACUUUUGCCAUGUUUAAAAAAUAGGAAAGGGAUAAAUUUUAACCAAAUUCUUUGAUUUCUUAGAUGCAUGUGAAAACAAUAAAAAAUUGAGUGAUUAUGAAUUAAUAUUAAGGAGUACAAAAGGGUACGUAUGAAGAAUAUUGGAGGGGGUGUUUACUUUGGAGAAUUAGUCUUGAUUAAUAAUAAUAGUAAAAUUAAAUUUUUAUUUACUUUGAUGAAUUGUAACUUUGAGAUAUUUCAAAGUCUUUGAUGAAAGAAUGAGAUUGAAGAUAUUCUACUCUUAAGAAUAAAAAUACUCAAUCACACAUAUCUUACUAAAGGGAUGUUUAUUUUGCAUGAUUAAUUAUAUGCAAAACUAGUUUGAAUGAGAUAGAAGUUAUCGAGAGCCUUGAGAUAUCCCAACAUUGCAAUCCAUCAAAAUAAACAAUGAUUAACCUUACUAUUUGUAUUUAUCAAGAUUAGUCCUCCAAAGUAAACACCCCCUAAUUAUAUGAAAAUAUUGGUCCAAUAGUAAAAUUAAUAUUUGAGUAUUAAAAUUUUAAAAUUUAGAAUUUCAACAUUACAUGAUUUUUAUUUAUUCGUUCACAAAACAAAACAAUAAAAGAAAAAAUCGAACAUUAAAAUGAUUUUUAGUGCAAUUUUGUUAUAAUUUGAUUCUAACUCACGGUCAUCCGCAUUAUUGUCGAGGUCUUCAGGUCACCUUGCGGCUUCCGAUUAUGGUCCAUUGGAUUUCUUUUUAUUUUCUAAUUAAGAAAAAAUUAAAAUGACGUCGUUUUAACCUAUAAGCUUGCCAUCAUUUUAAUUUUGUCAUGCUAGUUUUCUCAUUUGGGGAAUUAAAAUUUAUGAGAAAAUUUAAAAAUUCUCAAGGUAUAUGAAUUUUGGCACCAAUUUCAUAGUAUCUGGAAAAAUCAAAAUUUGACUAUAAUGUAUGAAUUUACAGCCAAUUAAUCCUAUUUUAAAUACCCUAAAUACUAAAAAGGUGACGCGAUAACAAAGUAUUUAAAAGUGAAACUUAUGUACUUCACCUUUGAACCAAUUUAAAUUUUAUAAGUUGUAAGGCUAAAGUUUCAUGGGUCGUAUAAAAAACAACUCAAUCGUUUAAAACUUAAGGAUCAAGUAGCAAAUCUACCCCUAACGUUUAUAACAAAAAGUCAAUAGGUCUUUAACGUUAUGUUUUAUGCAAAUAAGUCCCUAAUGUUUACAAAUUUUUAACAAAUUUGUGAGUCUAUUGGUAAGACGAUGAAGCGCAGUCUGUUGGUAAGACGCUUCUCCUCCAACCAAUAGGUCGGGGGCUCGAGUCCAUAAAUGAGAAUAUGCACUCAUAUAGCAAUAUUGAGGAUUUGAACUCAAUAUUUGGCCCUCCAUCUUAAAAACACAAAUUUUGGUCAUUUUUUUACUGUAUUGCCCUUAAUUUGUGCGGACCGAAUUUGGCACAAAUUAUAACAUUAAUGUCAAAAGUUCCAAUUUAUUUAGUAAUUUUUUGUUUUGCUUUCCGUUGGUACUUUUGAUACAAAAUAAAAACAUUAGUGCCAAAAGUACCACCUAAACCCAUGCGCCCAAUCCGAAUCGAUACGCCCAAAUCAAGGGCAAUACAUUUUGAAAUUACNUCCUAUUCAGAAACCAGUCUGGGAUCUUGAAUUGGCGGGGAUUUGCCACAAUCACCAUCAAGCUAUCUAACUCAGCAGCAGAAAGCUCACCAGCCCUGUCCAAAUUAUAUCAAAUGCGUUUACACAGAUUCCAAAUAGAGCAACAUCGCCAACCUAAUCAGAUAUCGGGAGUAACUCAUAUAUAUAACAGUAAAAACUUCAAUACGUACAGGCAACAAACAUGCAGAUAGAAGAGAUCUACAUGACUUUGUAUGAAUCCAAUUCAGCAUGACUUGUAUAUAAAUCAUAAUUAAUUACCUGUUACAAUAAUUAAAAAUAUUACUCCCUCCGUCCACGAAAAAGUGCCCCAUUUGGGUGCUGGCACGGGUUUUAAGAAAGCUGAAAAAGGUGGUGUAAAGGUGGUGUAAAAGACUAAAAGGGUAGUGUUAAUGUAUUGUGGUUACUUUUACUAAUCUUGCACUAACUAUUUGGCAUUAUUUUAUUAGGUGAAAAUUCAGAAAAUAAAUAUAUAAAUAAAAUGGAAAUAAAUAAAUAAACUGGAAAUAAAUAAAUAAAUAAAUAAGUAAAUAAACUAGAUAAAAAAAUAGGAAAAUAAAUAAACUAGAAAAUUACAAAAAUCAGUAAAUAAAUAAAUAGAAAUUCGAAAAUAAAUAAAUAAAUAAAACUAAAAAAAUGGAAAAAAAAUAAAUAAAUAAACUGGAAAUAAAAAAAAUAAAUAAAUAAAUAAAUAAACUGGAAAUAAAUAAACUAAAAAUUCAAAAAAAAAAAAACAAACUGAAAAUUCGAAAAUAAAUAAAUAAAUAAAUAAACUGAAAAUAAAUUAACUGAAAAUCAGAAAAAAAAUAAAUAAAUAAACUGGAAAAUAAAUAAACUGAAAAUUCGAAAAUAAAUAAAUAAAUAAACUGAAAUUCAAAAAUAAAUAAACUUGAAAUUCAGAAAAUAAAUAAAUAAAUAAACUGAAAAUUCAAAAAUAAAUAAAUAAAUAAACUUGAAAUUCAGAAAAUAAAUAAAUAAAUAAACUGGAAAAUAAAUAAAAUAAAUAAAUAAAUAAACUGAAAAUUCAGAAAAUAAAUAAAUAAACUGGAAAUAAAUAAAUAAAUAAAUAAAUAAAUAAACUGGAAAUAAAUAAACUAAAAAUUCAAAAAUAAAUAAAUAAAUAAACUUGAAUUCAGAAAAUAAAUAAAUAAAUAAACUGAAAAUUAAGAAAAUAAAUAAAUAAACUGAAAAUUAAGAAAAUAAAUAAAUAAAUGGGAUUAAUUGUGUGGGUUAAUUGCAUAGAUUAAAUAAAAGUGUGGAUUUAUUAAUGACAUAAGUUGUAAAUAAAUUGAAAAGUAAAGGGUAUGAAUGUACAAAAAGGUAAACAGGGCACUUUUUCGUGGACAAAAAAAAAUGGGUAAGUAGGGCACUUUUUCGUGGACAGAGGGAGUACAAUAAAUUAUCAUGUGUAUUUUGAUUUCCAUUAAAGAUAUUUUUGAAUUUUGAACCAUCUAGGUCAAUGGUCCGGACCAAAAACUAAGUCCUCCCAAUGGUAGAAACGAUUCUUAUAAUGCAGUUCAUUGUAAAUAAAAUUCCCUCUAUUUGGGAUUUCAGAUUUUACAAGCAUUUUUCCCCUCUGCUAUACAAUUGCCACAAAUAUGAAAUUGUGUGCUCAAGCUUAGGUGCUGCUCGACAGCAGAGUUCUAUUUCAUAUUUCAAUUAAUAGAAUAGAUGGAAAAAAAUUGCUAUGUUGGAAUGCAACUGUAACCUUAGCCCUCCCACAGCUACAGAAGGUGAUUAGAAAAUUCAAAGAUACAGGAGAUUCAGUUCAAAGUGAUGACUUUCACUUAUAAACCAGAUAUAUAAGCAUCCUAUUUCAGUGCUGUAAGCACACAGACAUUAAUCAUCAAAAAUUUCGAAGUAAAAUCAAGUUGAACAGAACAAGAGACCUAUAAUAAAGAAGAGUAUAAAUACUGCAAAAACUAACACGUCUAACACUGUUAGUCCAGUAGUCCAGUGAAUCAGAAACACAACUGAAGCAUUCAGAUUAGAGAGAGAUUGAAACCUCUUGUUCAUGUCGACAUCAGCUUUCUUACAGACAAUGUUGGCGAAACGGCGGCCGAUACCCUUGAUCGAGGUCAUGGCGAACAUGAUCUUCUGCUUGCCAUCGACAUUAGUGUUCUGCACACGCAGAAUGUGCUGAAAAUCCUCGUUUGCAACAAGUGAC